CUGCUUGACGAUGAAGAGAUGAUGUCAUAUAUUCUUGCCGGACUCGACGAUGACUACGAGCCUGUUGUUUCCAAUCUGGUUGGCAAGGCGGAAGCUGUUUCAGUCGCCGAGAUUUACUCUCAACAUCUGAGCUUCGAAG
rfam:Oryza sativa Japonica Group DNA, chromosome 12, cultivar: Nipponbare, complete sequence.